rnacentral:rRNA from 1 species
UACGUAGGGUGCAAGCGUUUGUCCGGAAUUAUUGGGCGUAAAGAGCUCGUAGGCGGUUUGUCGCGUCUGCUGUGAAAACGCGAGGCUCAACCUCGCGCCUGCAGUGGGUACGGGCAGACUAGAGUGCGGUAGGGGAGAUUGGAAUUCCUGGUGUAGCGGUGGAAUGCGCAGAUAUCAGGAGGAACACCGAUGGCGAAGGCAGAUCUCUGGGCCGUAACUGACGCUGAGGAGCGAAAGCAUGGGGAGCGAACAGG